rnacentral:tRNA from 8 species
GCCCGUAUAGCUCAGUGGUAGAGCGCUUCACUCGUAAUGAAGAGGUCCGCGGUUCAAUCCCGCGUGGGGGCA